rnacentral:rRNA from 1 species
CAUAACCUUUAGCUAAACCAGUAUUAAAGGCAACGCCUGCCCAGUGAAUAGUUCAACGGCCGCGGUACCCUAACCGUGCAAAGGUAGCGUAAUCACUUGUCUAUUAAUUGUAGACCUGUAUGAAAGGCAUAAUGAGGGUCUAACUGUCUCUUUUAGUAAGUCAAUUAAACUGAUCUCCCAGUCCAAAAGCUGGGAUACUAACAUAAGACCAGAAGACCCUGUGAAACUUUAACUAAACUAUUAAACCACAUAAUAACUACUUUAGGUUGGGGCGACCUUGGAAAAAAAAAGAACUUCCAAACACAUAUUACAUAAUAAUAUAAUACAAGGCCAACAAGCCUAUUACGACCCAGCACAGCUGAUAAAUGAACCAAGCUACUCCAGGGAUAACAGCGCUAUCUUCUUCAAGAGCCCAUAUCAAAAAGAAGGUUUACGACCUCGAUGUUGGAUCAGGACAUCCUAAUGGUGCAACCGCUAUUAAGGGUUCGUUUGUUCAACGAUUAACAGUCCUACGUGAUCUG